UACGAAGGGGGCUAGCGUUGCUCGGAAUUACUGGGCGUAAAGGGCGCGUAGGCGGCGCAUUUAGUCAGGCGUGAAAGCCCUGGGCUCAACCUGGGGACUGCGCUUGAUACGGGUGUGCUAGAGGACGGAAGAGGGUCGCGGAAUUCCCAGUGUAGAGGUGAAAUUCGUAGAUAUUAGGAAGAACACCAGUGGCGAAGGCGGCUCACUGGCCCGGUACUGACGCUGAGGCGCGAAAGCGUGGGGAGCAAACAGG
rnacentral:rRNA from 1 species